rnacentral:lncRNA from 1 species
UCAUAACUGUAAUGUGAAGGAGAAAACCUUUUGCUCAGGAUUCCUCUCAGGAUGGGUAAACUACCUUUGUUGGCAAACUCCAAUGAUAAGUGCGUGGGUUGGGGUUGGUUUCUCUCCCUCACAUGAAACAGCAGAGGAAUUUACAUGCUGGCCAGAGGGAGGAGAGGGAAAGAGACCAGAAAAACAGAGGAAAACAGGCUGGGAGGAGGCAGAAGGCUAUGUGCCUGGGCUGUGACCGACCUGGAAUGUCUGCCCCAUCCACCUUCAGUAGCGUUGCUAAGCUCUGGCAUCGACGAAUCAGUGCGUGUGGAUUGUUUGCGGAACUCGGUGGAAGGGCUGGGCUUGGCUUCUGCAUUGACUUGAGGCAGCACAAAGCAGUGAGUGGAAGAAGGGGUCAGAGCCGGAGAGAAAUCACGUGGAGGCCUUGUGAUGUCCUAGGCCAUGGAAUUCGGGUCCAGGUUUGGCUUCCGAUGUUGCAAUCCAGCCACAGCCUGGAGAGCAGAGGAGGACAGCUAUCUACCUUCAGGGAGGGCCAGGCCUCAACAGUGGGACUCUCUCUGAUUCUGGCAAAAGCCCGUGGGGCUGCAGCCACCCACCUCUGAGCGCUCAGGCCUCCCCUUCACCUCGGCCUUAUUGAAGUGUGUCUGUCUUGUGUGUUCACCUUCAGAUCUCAUCACAAGGAUCCCUGUCGCUUCUCUUCCCCUCUCUCCCUUCUCUCUCUCAUAUUUUGAAAUAUUUUGUUGACCAAACUGCAUUUACUCACAGUUCACCCAUUUUCCCAUAUUUUGGCAACCAAAAGCUUAUACAGUUGUCAAUCAAGACUUCUGAUUUGCUUGAGAUAACAAAAUUAGUACUGAAUUGAUAUAAUUCUAGAUCAAAACAAAGAAGCUUUGUAGUUUAAUAAUAGUUCGUGUUUACGGAAACCUUCCAUGUGCUAGGCAGUGACCCUCUGGGGUGGCAUUCUUGUUAACCCCAGUUCACAGACAAGGAAACAAAAGAGAUUAGCUUGCCCAGCAUCACUAGCAAGCGUGUAAGGAAGCUGAGAUUCAAACUCAGGUGAUCUGAAAACAGAGCCCCAGCUCUUCCAUCCUGAGCCAAAGGGAUAAAGCACGCACUUAAAACACAGAGUGCCCAUCGUGCCUUGUGAAAUACAGCAAAAAUCUGGAGCCCCUCCACCACGAUCUUAGUGCACCUCUGAAAGGCCUCCAGCUCUCGGUGAGGAAUACUGCGAUAAAUAAAUCCCUCUCAAGAUAGCAAUUACUUUCUGUUUCAAGUUUUUGAGAAGCUAGUUUUACCAAUUAAAUCUAGAUAGUUUAAAAAAUCCUUUUUUCAAAAAUUGGUUCAACAUGCUUUCUUUCUUUUUAAUUGAAUACAAUAUUUAACCUUCUCUGCCCAAAAAUAUAACAAAGAAGCUUCAUACGCUAAUCAUUUGCAUAACUCUAAAUACUUCUGACCUUCACUGGUGUGCUGAUGUCCAUUUUCUCUAACUUUGAGAAGCGUGUGUAUACUCUUUGUGGUACUAUUUUGAAUUCCGUCCUUUUCAUGAAAUACGGUUUCAGAUGUUCUCGACUGACAUGACUCAUGCAUUUGUCUUCUGAAGUUCGAUACACUAUGUUCCUGCGGGGGAGCCCUCCUCUCCACCGUCCAAUUUGGGGCUAUAAGGCUACGUGACAAACAAUCUUCACAGCCCCGUGAGUUAUGGUUCACAUCGACCAUUUUAAAGAGGAGAAAAGUGAGUCACGGUGAGGUCAUAUCAAGUGCACUGGGCUGCACAGGUGGAAGAGGCUGAGUUCAGUUUCAGGCCAGGUCUGUAUGACUCCAGAGUUCAUGUUCCCUCUUUGACACCAGGCUGCCUCCCAGGGAACUGGAAGAAGCAUCUAAAAAGCGAUCAUUGUCAGGUGGACACCUGGGGAAUACCC